rnacentral:rRNA from 1 species
CUGGCUCAGGACGACGCUGGCGGCGUGCCUAAUACAUGCAAGUCGAACGGUCUUUCUAUGGAAGCUUGCUUCCACUGAGAAGAUAGUGGCGAACGGGUGAGUAACACGUGGGUAACCUGCCCAUAAGAGGGGGGAUAACAUCCGGAAACGGGUGCUAAUACCGCAUAGUUUUCUUGAUCGCAUGAUCGGGAAAGGAAAGACGGCCUUUGUGCUGUCGCUUAUGGAUGGACCCGCGGCGUAUUAGUUAGUUGGUGAGGUAACGGCUCACCAAGACGAUGAUACGUAGCCGACCUGAGAGGUGAUCGGCCACAUUGGGACUGAGACACGGCCCAAACUCCUACGGGAGGCAGCAGUAGGGAAUCUUCCGCAAUGGACGAAAGUCUGACGGAGCAACGCCGCGUGAGUGAAGAAAAGGUUUUCGGAUCGUAAAACUCUGUUGUCAGAGAAGAACAAGUUGGAGAGUAACUGCUCCAGCCUUGACGGUAUCUGACCAGAAAGCCACGGCUAACUACGUGCCAGCAGCCGC